rnacentral:rRNA from 1 species
UACGUAGGUGGCAAGCGUUAUCCGGAAUUAUUGGGCGUAAAGAGCGCGCAGGUGGUUGAUUAAGUCUGAUGUGAAAGCCCACGGCUUAACCGUGGAGGGUCAUUGGAAACUGGUCGACUUGAGUGCAGAAGAGGGAAGUGGAAUUCCAUGUGUAGCGGUGAAAUGCGUAGAGAUAUGGAGGAACACCAGUGGCGAAGGCGGCUUCCUGGUCUGUAACUGACGCUGAGGCACGAAAGCGUGGGUAUCAAACAGGAUUAGAUA